rnacentral:sRNA from 1 species
UUGUCGAGCCAAAGAUGAUGGACCUCAUC